rnacentral:rRNA from 1 species
AGUGAACGCUGGCGGCAGGCCUAACACAUGCAAGUCGAACGGCAGCACAGGGGUGCUUCCUCUCUAGGGCGCGAGAGGCGGGAGGGAGAGGAAUACAUCUGACUCUGCCCAGUCGUUGGGGUCCACGAAGGGACACUUACACUAAUACCGCAUAUGACCUGCGGGUGAAAGAUGGGGAUCGCACGACCUCUCGGGAUUGCCUGAGUCGAUGUCGGAUUAGCUAGUUAGCGGGGUAAUGGCCCACCACGGCGACGAUCCGUAGCUGGUCUGAGAGGAUGAUCAGCCACACUGGAACUGAGACACGGUCCAGACUCCUACGGGAGGCAGCAGUGGGGAAUAUUGGACAAUGGGCGCAAGCCUGAUCCAGCCAUACCGCGUGGGUGAAGAAGGCCUUCGGAUUGUAAAGCCCUUUUGUUGGGAAAGAAAUCUUGCAGGCUAAUACCCUGGGAGGAUGACGGUACCCAAAGAAUAAGCACCGGCUAACUUCGUG